CCUACGGGAGGCUGCAGUGGGGAAUAUUGGACAAUGGGGGCAACCCUGAUCCAGCCAUGCCGCGUGUGUGAAGAAGGCCCUCGGGUUGUAAAGCACUUUCAGUGAGGAAGAACGCCUGGUGGUUAAUACCCAUCAGGAAAGACAUCACUCACAGAAGAAGCACCGGCUAACUCCGUGCCAGCAGCCGCGGUAAUACGGAGGGUGCGAGCGUUAAUCGGAAUCACUGGGCGUAAAGCGCGCGUAGGUGGCUUGAUAAGCCGGUUGUGAAAGCCCCGGGCUCAACCUGGGAACGGCAUCCGGAACUGUCAAGCUAGAGUGCAGGAGAGGAAGGUAGAAUUCCCGGUGUAGCGGUGAAAUGCGUAGAGAUCGGGAGGAAUACCAGUGGCGAAGGCGGCCUUCUGGACUGACACUGACACUGAGGUGCGAAAGCGUGGGUAGCAAACAGGAUUAGAUACCCUUGUAGUC
rnacentral:rRNA from 1 species